rnacentral:rRNA from 1 species
AAGUCUGGUGCCAGCAGCCGCGGUAAUUCCAGCUCCAAUAGCGUAUAUUAAAGUUGUUGCAGUUAAAAAGCUCGUAGUUGAAUUUCGGGGUUAGUAGGUUGGUCAUGCCUCUGGUAUGUACUGGUCUCACUGAUUCCUCCUUCCUUAUGAACCGUAAUGCCAUUAAUUUGGUGUUGCGGGGAACUUGGACUGUUACUUUGAAAAAAUUAGAGUGUUUAAAGCAAGCUAACGCUUGAAUACAUUAGCAUGGAAUAAUGAAAUAGGACGUUCGAUCUUAUUUUGUUGGUUUCUAGGAUUGACGUAAUGAUUAAUAGGGAUAGUUGGGGGCAUUAGUAUUCAAUUGUCAGAGGUGAAAUUCUUGGAUUUAUUGAAGACUAACUACUGCGAAAGCAUUUGCCAAGGAUGUUUUCAUUAAUCAAGAACGAAAGUUAGGGGAUCGAAGACGAUCAGAUACCGUCGUAGUCUUAACCAUAAACUAUGCCGACUAGGGAUCGGAUGAUGUUAAUUUUUUAAUGACUCAUUCGGCGCCUUACGGGAAACCAAAGUGUUUGGGU